rnacentral:lncRNA from 1 species
GGGGGGGAGUGGUCCCACUGAAAAACCCUCUAAAUCCGCCUCUGAUGUGGCAUUAAACAUUCAUAUAUUGUACAUUUAUGUUUAUCUAAUGAAUUAAUUAUUAAGGCAAAUAAUUUAUAUGUUAUCAAGGUUUCAAUAGCAAUGAAUAUAUAAAUGUAUAUUUUUUAUGGUGAGUCUGCAGUGGUACAAGUUCGCAAUGAUUGUAGUUGUUCUAUUGUUCGUAGUAGUUAGUUAUAGUUGUUCUAGUAGUUAACGUUGGUUUUAGUUGACUGUUAGUAGUACGUGUUGACUUAGUACGAACAUGUAAUAGUAUGAAUGGACUGGUUUCCCUGUAAAGAAAACUGAGUAUGUGUUCUAUAGUACAAUAGUUAUGCGACACAAAUCAGACAAAUGUUCACUACUACAAGGAUCAAAGGUGAGGUCUGACUGACCUGCCCAUAGUAAAUGUAAAUGAUUUGUUAUAUUGUCCCAUACAUGAAUAUAU